CCCUCGCCGCCGCCGCGCAUCCCUCGCCACCGGCCCUCGCCCGAGCCGCCCCCCAGCUCGUGCCGCCGCCGGAACAACCCCGGCCCCUUCGCCGGUCGCCGGAGGUACUACCUCGCCCCGUCGGCGCCCCCUCCUCGCCACUACACUUCGAUUUGACGGCGCCCACCACCGGAUCCGGCCGCCGCCGCCGCCGGGCCUCUCGGCGCGUCAUCCAGCCAUCCUCGCCGCGCCCCGCUGCUGUCACGCCGCCUCGAGGUGAAGUGGUUGCCACCGUGAGGGGUUCCCGUCCCCUUGCGCAAAGAGGCGGCGGGUCGCCGUCAGCUCGUCACCUCCCUGACGAUCUACUCCAGCCCGAGGACCUCACCGUCGCAGACACGUUCCCCGGCCUCCCGCAUACCGUGCGGAAUCGUCACGUUAUUACCUCUUGCAGUUUUGAUUUCAGGCCUGAACCGUACGAAGAGCAUUCCCAAUUGCAGAUUUAAUUUCAGGCCUGAACCUAUAUGCUAUACCUAGCAAAACUGAUUCACCUCGGCUACUUUGAGUGGAAACUAGAGUUCCAAUUUGCGAGAAUUGUAUGUCAAAGAUUCAAUUAUACACAUGCCUUAUAGUUAAUUGUUUUGCAAUUAUGUUGUACACAGGCCUAAUAGUUAUUUAUAUGACAGAUCAUCUACUGUAUUGUUAUAAAUUCCAAACACUGGAUCAUCCAAAGUGGAAUUCUGUUUUUCCCUCAAAGUAUACAAGCUGAAUCAGUUUUGUUAGGUCAGAGAGUAGACAUCAUAAUUGAUUAAUCAAUUUAUCUUGCUUGAAACCAUUAAAGUUUCAGAAACUUUGAUCUAUGUUCCUCAUUCUGCAGUUCAACAUGUAUAAAAACCAAAAGGUAUGUCAUCCCAUUUAGUGUGCAGAAUAGUAGAUUAGAGUAGGCAUACAGGAGGUUAAUCAGCUAGCAAGUAAUGCCUUAUCUCAUCCAUUAUUCAAGACACACUGUCCUGCUUGAGGUUUUGAAUUUGACCAUAAUAUCCUACUUCUGGUCCUGAAUUUGACCAUUAAAGUUUCAGAAACUUUGAUCUAUAUUCCUCAUUCUGCAGUUCAACAUGUAUAAGAACCAGAAGGUAUGUCAUCCCAUUUAGUAUGCAGAAUAGUAGAUUAGAGUAGGCAUACAGGAGGUUAAUCAGCUAGCAAGUAAUGCCUUAUCUCAUCCAUUAUUCAAGACACACUGUCCUGCUUGUGGUUUUGAAUUUGACCAUAAUAUCCUACUUCUGGUCUUGAAUUUUAGUAGAUAAACUGCAGAUGGAACUUCUGUUAAACAGCUAGGUAGCAAUUAUUGGGAUGUCAUGGUGCCUAGCUUAGUGCUUAGCAAAGAAGAAAAAAAUUUCGCCAUUGUUGAUGCUUAGUAAAUAUCAAGUAAAUUUUGUUGCCCCCCUUUAUGCUUAGUUCUUAUUAAAGAAAAAUAUAUGGAAUAUAUCAGAGUCUGCAUAUCUUUAGUGCACUGCAUGAUGUGAUCUAUCUUAAUGGGUAUUAAACUAUAGUUGAUCAUCUAGAAAUGGAAUAGUCGAAUGGGUUGUGUUUGAAUGUAUAUACUGGUCUACCUAAAUUUCUACUACUACAUAAAAAGCACAAAGUCUGUUUACCCCUCCUGUGAGUCUGCCUCCCGAUGCCAACAUCGUAUGUCAGCCGUCUGAUGGUCAUCGUAUGCAUCUCGUGCCUCCCACCUUUCCCCUGACCCACCUCUAACCGCUCAUGCCACCUCCCUCCUCGCCUCUCCGGCCUCCCCAACCUCCCACGAGCAGUUUCAGCUCGCAUCUCUCCCGCCGCCGUUGCCUCCGCUCUCCCACCCCCACCGCGUGCCGCUGUCGCGCCCGCCCUAACCGGUCUCUCCCGCCGCUCUCCCCCGCGAGCGCGUAGCCUCGCCCCGCUCCGGCGACCCUCACACUGUCUUAGAAUUCACCUUACAUUUGAGUCAUGAUGAUUAUUGGCCUACUAAAUCUACUGUUAAACGUUAGUUUGAAGUUCAAUCAGAUAGAUCCAGGUACAUUAACAUACCACCAGAAUUAGGUCAUUGCUUGACAGUGUGUUGCUGUGAUGAGUGAUGACCAAUGGAAAACCUAAUCAUGCUUAUUUUUAUGUCGUAGGCUUUAUCAUUCUCCCGUGAAGGCCAAUUUGUUGGCUCACCAGCAAAGUCAUGGUUCCAUGACUGAUAAUUGAUUUAUAUAUUCUAUGCUUGUUAGUGUGCAAUUUAUCCCUAGGUUUUUGGCUCACCAGGAAACUCCUAAUCUAAUUGUAGGUUUUAUUUUGCAGAUCAGUCGAUUAGAAAGCAGCAGCCCACUGCUUUACUACAUUUGGAGGCUUAACAUUUAUGCUUUACAUGGUCCGUCACUUAUCAUUCUUUUUUAAUGAAAGAUUGUCUUAACAUGGUAAGUGUAUGGCAUUUGCAGCACUUGGCAAGGUUUAAGAAAGCACAUAGAAGCAAAUAUUGGAGGAUCUAUUAUUGUAAGUUAUUCCCUGGGUGGAUCCAGUUAAAACAAAUUAAAUUUAACCAGGCAAGAUCCUGGUUGUUUGCUGUCAUAUGUAUGAGACAAAUAUGCUAAGUUCUUUAAUUUCAUUUUCUAAUUACUGCAGAAUUUUAAACAACAUAUGUACAGUAGUAUGAGCUUACAAAAACUCUAAUCUCAUUAGGUUAGCUCAAUAGUUGCUAGUCAUAUAUGAUUGUGGUGCUGUCAACUGGAAACAUUGUUUGUUUGGUGCUUGAAUUGCUGUCCUCGUAUGAUUGUGGUGAUUUCGGUGGGUUUUUAUUGAUAAGGGGAUGUUUGCAUACCAAUUCAGUUAAUUUGUUGUCUGUGACAUGCUUAUUAACCAGCAAUGUCAUGUUGAUAGGGGAAGGCUGUAUUUUCUAUUUGUUACUUUCCAAUUUUGCUACUAUAUGCCUAUACUUUUUUUAGUUCUUUAGGUGUCCAAUUUGAUACUCUUGACCUGUACUGUUUCCAUAAGGCAGUAGCUAUCACAAGCCUAUAGCUGAACAAAAAUAAUUGAUGCAAGUGGCUCGGUGCAAUGAUAUAUCAAUGUUGAGAUAGGGUAUUGGUCGUUUGAUUUGCUUUACUAAAUGCCGCAUUAUGUUAGCACUUAGCAUAGGCAUUGUUAAACAACGUAUGAUAAUGCUAGGAUGAUAUAUUUAGUUAAAAGCAUGUUUGGUUCAGAUUCAUAGGAUGAUAUAUUUAAUUAAAUGUCACAUUUCAUUCCUAUUUUGUUUUGUUCAGAUUCAUGGCCGACCACUACGAUUGUGACACUGCCAUAGCAGCCAAGAGAUAGCUUUUUUUUGGCCUUUUAUUUAAAGUUUCUAGAGCUAGCAAUUCUUUCAAAAAUUGGAAGCCCAAAUGAUUGGGGUUUUUGGGAGUGUCUAGAUGAGUUCAUAUUUGGAAAGUUUUAGGAAGGAGAGAGGAUACAUGAUGGAGUCUGACAGACUGUCAGUGAGAAAAAGCACCAUGGAAGACCACAUAAGGUUUGAUUUCAGUUUUCUAAAGAUCAGAAAUGCCAUUUGUUUCUCUUUAGUUUGUUACACUGAUAAAAAUUGAGAUACUGAAAUGACUAGCACCAUUUUGGGACUUCUUUGGUCGGUGUUCGCGGGAAAAAGUUGAGCCAGCUCUUCAAAUUGCAUAUUAAGAUGGUACUGUCGCCAAUGUGGAGAAGAAAGACAUGGAGUCAAAUGACAUACUCCGCUUAGAACAGUUGAGGCAUGAGCUGAUCGAGUUAGAAAAGUGAGUGCAGAUGAUGCUCAAAAGGAGAAGGAGAUGGGUGUUGCAGACGGAACAACUGCGCCAUCACCUGUAGCAUCAGUGCCUUCCGGUGAGGCUAGCAAGAAGGAGAAUAUGGUAAUUCUGAACUUUCCAGCUGUGCCGGUACAUUUCAAAUUGAAACCUCACUUCUACAAUCUGAUGAGACUAAGUUAUAAAUUAUUGCCAGACAACGGUGUGUGUCUGGUUAACAGCCUAACUCAUGUCGAGCAAUUCGUUUUGUCCAAAUAUUUAAGUUCAUUUUAUUUUAUUUAUGUUUACGAUGAACAUCUUGUAUGCAUAAUUUCUUUUACAUUCUAGUUGGUCCAACAUUAAAAGACUCCAUAAAACGAUCUUCACCUAUCAGUAUCAAAAUCAAUGUGUACUUUAAAAGUUAAAAGGAGGCAGUGGGCUCAGUCCGUUGAGGAAGAGGAGGAUAGGAUGGAGGACGCCGUUGGAGAUGGCACGGAUGAGGUGUUGGUGGUGAGAUAGGAGCGUGGCACAGGAGAGCACAGGUCGAGAUGCAAAUGGAGCGUUGGGCUUUGAAAUGGUGGCAUCGCUAUGAGUUCAGCUUACAUGGGAAUGAAAUACAAUCUCAAUGUAUGAUGUUGAUAUUUGUCUCAUCACAGAAGUUAAGACUUAUGUUUCUUUGACUGGGAUCUAUAGAAAUGACAUGGUCUUAAUUGAAAAUAUCAUAUUUUUUCUA